UACGUAGGGGCCGAGCGUUGUCCGGAGUUAUUGGGCGUAAAGCGCGCGCAGGCGGCUUGACGCGCCCGACGUGAAAGCCCCCGGCUUAACCGGGGAGGGUCGUCGGGUACGGUCAGGCUUGAGGGCGGGAGAGGGUGGUGGAAUUCCCGGUGUAGUGGUGAAAUGCGUAGAGAUCGGGAGGAACACCUGUGGCGAAGGCGGCCACCUGGGCCGACCCUGACGCUGAGGCGCGAAAGCGUGGGGAGCAAACAGG
rnacentral:rRNA from 1 species